rnacentral:rRNA from 1 species
ACGGAAGGCAGCAGUGGGGAAUAUUGGACAAUGGGGGAAACCCUGAUCCAGCGACGCCGCGUGAGUGAAGAAGUAUUUCGGUAUGUAAAGCUCUAUCAGCAAGGAAGAAAAUGACGGUACUUGACUAAGAAGCUCCGGCUAAAUACGUGCCAGCAGCCGCGGUAAUACGUAUGGAGCAAGCGUUAUCCGGAUUUACUGGGUGUAAAGGGAGCGUAGACGGCAAAGCAAGUCCGAAGUGAAAUCCCGGGGCUCAACCCCGGAACUGCUUUGGAAACUGUUUAGCUAGAGUGCAAGAGAGGUAAGCGGAAUUCCUAGUGUAGCGGUGAAAUGCGUAGAUAUUAGGAGGAACACCAGUGGCGAAGGCGGCUUACUGGACUGUAACUGACGUUGAGGCUCGAAAGCGUGGGGAGCAAACAGGAUUAGAUACCCUGGUA